GAUAGGCCCCUGUCGCUAGCGUGAUUGGACACUGACAGAGAGUCAACUAGCCUUGGUCGCACGGUUCUUCGCAAGCGGAACCGGAGGCGGUCCGAGCCACGAGGGGGGAGGCUCGGACCGUCGUAC
rfam:Streptomyces griseofuscus strain NG1-7 NG1-17_1_1, whole genome shotgun sequence.